AGAAUCUCUUUUUUCAAAGACGGUCAUCUUAGGAUGUGGACUCUCUGCUUCUUGGGACAGUAACCCAAGAAAGCUAUUCACUGGACAUUGUUAAAUCCCCUUUGCUCUUAUUUUUGUGUUAUUCCAGGGAAACAGCUUUUCGAAUCUGUCUGCAAUAGACAUUGAUCUUAAAUGUUGAGGACAUGACUAUGAUGGAGCCCCCAAGAUUCCCUGCUUGAAAUCAGCACUUUCAAGGCCUCCCUGGACCCCAGAGUAUCUGCCCCAGAAGCCUUGCUGCCUUCCCACAAAAAUGCCCCCCAUGAGGACUCGAGUUUGCACCUGGCCAGACUGCUGAUCCUCUGUGGGCCAAGGUACUUUUACAUAAAUUUCAAACCGCUCAUGGAGAAGCAAUAAUACCCAGAUCUAGCCAAGGAAAUUAUAAUUUCACCCUGGGGGAAGGAGCAGAUAAUCUGUAAAAUCCCUAGGCCAAUCUGGGCCAAGGGUGGAAGGUUAAGGACAAACAAGGUUUUCCACGUGACCAUCUCCAUGGCAGAGGAUUCCUGUCUGGCAGGAAGCCUUUUUCAUCCUUAAGUGCUGGAAUAGAAAGGGUUGCAUCCUUGGUACCUACUGGCCUCCCUGUAACUCAUUCCCAGCCAAGACCAGCAGUGAAAUUAACACUGCCCAGAGGUGCGUGUGACGGCUGCUGGGACCUGUGCCCAAAUUCCACCACUUCUGAGAAUCACAUGGUGCAAAGACAAGUCCAAGUUUAUAGUGUGACCCCAAUUAUCCUACUGGAGACGGUCCUAUCCAUCACACUGGGACAGGACAACAGGAGGGCCAAAGUGCAUCCUUAGGAUGGUAUGUGUCAUUUCAUGGAAUAGAUAUGACCACAGCAGAGAAAGCAUUUUGUAAAUGGAAUCAUUGAAAAUCCUUCACAAAGCUAGCAGUCCUCUUAUUAUAAUAAAAGCCAUGUCUUCUAUCUUAUCCAUUGUAUAAGUUUAGGCUUAUAUGGCAGUCAACUGUAUAUUACUAUAAAAGAGCCCCAAUUACCAAUAUAUGGUCCCAAAUGGUAUCUAAGACUCUUGUACAUAUCCACCCCCAUGCAAAAAGUGCACUGUCUCUGAAAGUCACAAAACUUCAAAUAAAUUAUGUACAGAAGUCAUAUGUCAUAUUUUGUAUUUCACAUAAUAUAUAUAUACAUAUAUUUUAGGAGCUACUGCUGUGUACUUCCUACAUAUCAAAUUUACCUAGAUUAUCACUGUAAUCUAUUGACCUGGACUUAUUCUAGCAAUAAAUAAUUAUCACCUAUAAGAAAGUAGACUAACUAGAAAAAACACAAGACCUUCUUUUCCCAAAGAGAUGCAUUUCAAAUAAAAUGUCGGUCUCCAUGGUAAAAUAUUAUCUGUUAAUCCUUUAUCUACUUACUUUGUUUGGAUCAAUUUUGUGCUGCUGAUAAUUGUAAUGACAAUGCAUUCCAGAAAAAUUUGAUUUUAAAACACAAAACUUUGUGGUCAUGGGAAAUAGUAAAUGAAAGAAAUAGUAAAAAAAUUUGAAAAGUACUCAGGUAAGUGUUUAUUUUAGAUGUAGAGAAACAAAAUAGGGUGAUGCAUGAAUAUGUUAGAGAAGCAAACACAGGACAGAAAAUAAUAGAAAAUGGGGAAAGUGGAAUGAAAAUACGACACCAAGAAGAAAGAGGGGAUAUAAAAUUUCUAGAUCUUAAAGAACUUUCUCAUGAUUUAAAGUGAAAAUAAUGGGCCUGAAAUUACUUUGGUAUUCAGAUUCCAGAUGACAUAUUUAUUAUAUUUAUAUUAUUUUUUUUCAUUAUAUUAUUGUUAUAGAAUAAUUAUUCAUCUUAUAUCAAAAUGUCAAUAUUUAUAGUUUACUGGUAAUUACAUCCUUAACACACAUUGAGACUUAUGAAAAACUCUGCAUUCAAUUUAUAAGUGCAUGAGGGGAGCACAUGAUGGUUUUUAAAAAUUCUAGUUUGAAGAUAACUGGACUGAAGCAUCUCUAUGUCAACCCUUUGCCAUGUUAAUGCUGAGACUCCAGUUUCUCAGGACAAGCACAUCAGGUAAAUGGUCCUUAACCAACAGAACACCAUGUCCUCUCUUAUUCCAGUGGCAUCUUCCAAAGGCAAUGUUAGUCCAGUUAUAGACUCUUUGGGGAAAAGGAUCCAUUUCCAAAAUCUGAAAAGCACUGCAAAGGGAAUUCUGCUUGCCACCUUUACCAUCAGGAACAAAUGAAAUACAGACAAAAUGGCCCAAACAACAGUUUACAAGACACUGGAUUCCAGGCAAUGAAGGAGAGUGAUCUUUGAAAGAUGGGAAACAAAUGAAGUCAAUCCUAUGAUCACCCUAACUUACUCCCAUGAAAGAAUCUCUAGACUGCACAGGGGCAGGGGGCAUUCAGGCAGAGCUGGAACCAUUCCCUGGGUUGAAAGGACAGGCAGAGUUUGAAGGCCAACAUGAUUAGAAUUUGUGGGGCAGAGUACAGGAGGAAAGAGAGCUGCACAGAGAGAGAGCUCUGGAGACCCACGGCUCAUU
rnacentral:lncRNA from 1 species